AUUGAACGCUGGCGGCAGGCCUAACACAUGCAAGUCGAACGGUAACAGGAAGCAGCUUGCUGAUUUGCUGACGAGUGGCGGACGGGUGAGUAAUGUCUGGGAAACUGCCCGAUGGAGGGGGAUAACUACUGGAAACGGUAGCUAAUACCGCAUAACGUCGCAAGACCAAAGAGGGGGACCUUAGGGCCUCUUGCCAUCGGAUGUGCCCAGAUGGGAUUAGCUAGUAGGUGGGGUAACGGCUCACCUAGGCGACGAUCCCUAGCUGGUCUGAGAGGAUGACCAGCCACACUGGAACUGAGACACGGUCCAGACUCCUACGGGAGGCAGCAGUGGGGAAUAUUGCACAAUGGGCGCAAGCCUGAUGCAGCCAUGCCGCGUGUAUGAAGAAGGCCUUCGGGUUGUAAAGUACUUUCAGCGGGGAGGAAGGGAGUAAAGUUAAUACCUUUGCUCAUUGACGUUACCCGCAGAAGAAGCACCGGCUAACUCCGUG
rnacentral:rRNA from 1 species